UGCAAGUCGAUCGGUAACAGGUGUAGCAAUACAUGCUGACGAGAGGCGGACGGGUGAGGAAUAUUUGGGAAUCUGCCCAUCAGCGGGGGACAACCCGGGGAAACCCGGGCUAAUACCGCAUACGCUCUACGGAGGAAAGCCGGGGACCGCAAGGCCUGGCACUGAUGGAUGAGCCCAAAUCGGGUUAGCUAGUUGGCGGGGUAACGGCCCACCAAGGCGACGAUCCGUAGCUGGUCUGAGAGGACGAUCAGCCACACCGGAACUGAGACACGGUCCGGACUCCUACGGGAGGCAGCAGUGGGGAAUAUUGGACAAUGGGGGAAACCCUGAUCCAGCGACGCCGCGUGGGUGAAGAAGGCCUGCGGGUUGUAAAGCCCUUUCGGUAGGGACGAAAGCUCUUGCUCUAACAAAGCAGGAGGUUGACUUAACCUACAUAAGAAGCACCGGCUAACUCUGUGCCAGCAGCCGCGGUAAUACAGAGGGUGCGAGCGUUAAUCGGAAUUACUGGGCGUAAAGCGCACGUAGUCGGCUUGUCAAGUCGGGUGUGAAAUCCCCGGGCUCAACCUGGGAACUGCAUCCGAAACUGACUUGCUAGAGUAUGGGAGAGGGAGGCGGAAUUUCUGGUGUAGCAGUGAAAUGCGUAGAUAUCAGAAGGAACAUCAGUGGCGAAGGCGGCCUCCUGGACCAAUACUGACGAUCA
rnacentral:rRNA from 1 species